CGGACGGGUGAGUAAUGUCUGGGAAACUGCCUGAUGGAGGGGGGUAACUACUGGAAACGGUAGCUAAUACCGCAUAACGUCGCAAGGCCAAAGAGGGGGACCGUUAGGGCCUCUUGCCAUCGGAUGUGCCCAGAUGGGAUUAGCUAGUAGGUGGGGUAACGGCUCACCUAGGCGACGAUCCCUAGCUGGUCUGAGAGGAUGACCAGCCACACUGGAACUGAGACACGGUCCAG
rnacentral:rRNA from 1 species